UACGUAGGUGGCAAGCGUUGUCCGGAAUUACUGGGCGUAAAGCGUGCGCAGGCGGUGAUGUAAGACAGAUGUGAAAUCCCCGGGCUCGACCUGGGAACUGCAUUUGUGACUGCAUCGCUGGAGUGCGGCAGAGGGGGAUGGAAUUCCGCGUGUAGCAGUGAAAUGCGUAGAUAUGCGGAGGAACACCGAUGGCGAAGGCAAUCCCCUGGGCCUGCACUGACGCUCAUGCACGAAAGCGUGGGGAGCAAACAGG
rnacentral:rRNA from 1 species